UACGGGGGGUGCGAGCGUUGUCCGGAAUCACUGGGCGUAAAGGGCGCGCAGGUGGUGCGGUAAGACUGCCGUGAAAUCUCCUGGCUCAACUGGGAGGGUGCGGUGGAGACUGCCGGACUAGAGGCACUCAGAGGCCGGUGGAAUUCCCGGUGUAGUGGUGAAAUGCGUAGAGAUCGGGAGGAACACCAGUGGCGAAGGCGGCCGGCUGGGGGUGACCUGACGCUGAGGCGCGAAAGCGUGGGGAGCGAACCGG
rnacentral:rRNA from 1 species